rnacentral:misc_RNA from 1 species
AUGAAAUUAUGACUGGGGUUGUAGCUGGCCCAUAAAACGGCAUGUGCACGCCCCUUUCACAAUCCACACACACCUGUGCACCUUCGCGGGGGUCCUCUUUCCUUUCGGGAAGAAGGCUCGCGUCCCUUUACACACCCUUUGUAUGUCUUAAGAAUGUCUACUCGAUGUAAUAAAACGCAUCUAAUA